CUGGGUGUAGCGCAGAUGGUAGCGUACAAGAAUGGGGUUCUUGGGGUCGCGAGUUCAAGUCUCGCCACUCAGACCA
rnacentral:tRNA from 1 species